GUUCCGACGAGCGAGACGCCGGGUUCAGGCACACAUUCCUUUGCCUCGUCGCGCAGCGCCGUGAAAGCGGCGGGAGGACGAGGGAAGCGCUCAGCUCGGGAGCUGGGACUCGGGAAGAGUCGCGCAGCUUUAUUCUCAUGACGAUCCUUCAUGCUUGCAGUGACGGUUCUUCCCGAGAGCAGCAGUCAAACCCAGUUUGCAGCUUUUCCAACACAUGCAGAAAGAGGCAACUGCAACAGUCUCUUAACCCUACCCUGACUUCUCUUCCCUGCCUUCUCCAAAUCUUUCUUGAUACUACACUCAAGAGUGAUCACUCUAAAAUAAAAUAUACAUGUCAUCCUAUGAUACCUGCAGAAGACGGCAGAAACUGAGCUACAAAUUCUGAACCUCAUUCCUGUACAUGUAAUCUUUUUGCAAUGUGACUGUGCUGUGUAUGCCAACAGAAAGUGGAGUCUAGGGGAUCCCUGGGUGGCGCAGCGGUUUGGCGCCUGCCUUUGGCCCAGGGCGCGAUCCUGGAGACCCGGGAUCGAAUCCCACGUCGGGCUCCCAGUGCAUGGAGCCUGCUUCUCCCUCUGCCUAUAUCUCUGCCUCUCUCUCUGUGUGACUAUCAUAAAUAAAUAAAAAUUAAAAAAAAAAAAAAAAAAAAAAAAGAAAGUGGAGUCUAUUUCUCCAUAUCCCUGGAUCUGGGCUGGCUUUACAACUUCCUCUGACCAACAGAUGUCAGGUGAAGGGACAACAUGGACGUCUGAACCUAGCCUCCAGAGGCCUUCAAGACCACAUGAAAACACCUUCUAGACACAGGAGGAUGAAAGCAUAUGAAGUCCUCCCUACUAAGGCCACCUAGGCCAACCAGUGAACAGCUAUUACCAACUGCCUGACAGAGGAGCAAGGCCGUCUUAAACAACUUAAACAACAACUCCAUCAAGCUUGCAGAUGACUACAGAAGCACAAGUAACUGCAAACAAAUCCAGUGAAGAACCCCAAGCUGAGCUAGCCCAAACAACUGUCAUUAAUGGUUGCUGUUUUAAGGCCACUAAAUUUGGCUUUAUGUAGCAAUCCUUAAGUGAUGAAGUCCCCUCCUCUGCCCUCAUGUUUAAGUUUAAACUCUUAAAACUGUCUUGAGAUCCCUUUUGCAGUUCUCUAAUCUCAUCCCUCAGCCCACACAUACUUGAAAAUCAACACAGGGAAACUUCUCUAAAGUGGAGCCAAAAGGCCCUCGCUCCAGGGUGUGAACUCGUGAUUUUCCUAGCAUACUGAAGUUAGCUUGUAGAUGAAUAAAAGGCAUGGUCCCCAGUAUUGUGUUUAAAAGACUGUCUGUAUACUACCCAUCACAGGAAAUAUUAAACACUGAAUGGGGGGGCGGGGGCGCGCAGGUGGAGGGAAAGGGAGAGAGACCCUGAGAUGAUGAUCUGAGCUGAAACUAAGAGUCGGAUGCUCCACCAACUGAACCACCCAGUCACCUCUAUUUUAAAACAACUUAAAACCUACAGAAAAGUUGCAAAACCAGCACAGGGUUCUGGUAUAUCCUUCGCCAAACUUCCUCAAAUAUUAAUGUCUUUGAUAACUAUGGUACUAUUACCCAAACCUAGAAAUUAACAUUGCUAUACUACUUUAGCUAAUUUAUAUGUGUUAUAUGAAUGUCACCAUUUUCCCCACUAACGCUUUCUUUUUCCUGAUUUAGGAACUAACCCAGGAUUUAGCACUGCAUUUUGUUCUCAUGUUUUCUUGGAUUAUUCCAAUCUGAGAUAGCUACUAAGGCUUUUAUUUUUUACUUUCGUGAUCUUUACACUUUUGAGAACCACUGAUAUAUUCUUUACCAGUCAUUUGUAGAAUGCCCUUCAAUUUGAAUUUGUUUAAUACUCUCAUUAUUAGAUUGAGGAUAUGCAUUUUUAAUUUUUUCUUCAGCUAUAAUUCACAUUCCAUUCCAUUAGCCGUUUUCAAGUGUACAGGUCAAUGUUUCUUGGUAUAUUCACAGGUUGUAAAAUUACCACCAUUAUCUAGUUCUGGAAUAUUUUCAUUACCCCAAAAAGAAACCUAAUAUCCAUCAGCAGUCACUCCCCAUUCUCUCCUCACCCCAUUUCGUAGCAAUGACUAAUGUACUCUAUCUCUAUGGAUUUGUGUAUUCUGGAGUCAUAUUAAAUGGAAUUCACAAAUUGAAUCAUAUAAUAUGUUGCCUACUGUGCCUUGCUUCCUCCAUUUAGCAUGUUUUCAAGAAUCAUCCAUGUUCAUCAUUCAAUUUUUUUUUAAGAUUUUAUUUAUUUAUUCAUGAGACAGAAAGAGAGAAA